rnacentral:sRNA from 1 species
CGAGGUCCGGCUUAACAUCGUUAA